CCUUUCGUAGUUUAGUGAUCAGAACAUCGGUGCGUAAAGCCAAAGGUCCCGGGUUCGAUUCCCGGCGGGGGUG
rfam:Agrilus planipennis Contig20048, whole genome shotgun sequence.